rnacentral:pre_miRNA from 1 species
GCAUGAAUUGCCCCAAGAUCUUCUUAAAAUGCAGAAUCUGAUUUGGGGACUGGAACCUAAGAUUCCGCAUAUCUAAUAGGUUCCCAAGCAAUGUCAAU